CUUUAUUUUGUAUUCAAUGUGUUAUCUAUUUGAUUUUUUUUCAACAUUUAUGUCAAAAUGUCAUUUUUCAGCCUAAAAUGUGCCGACCAGGAAAUGUAAACAUUAGAUGACUCUUUACAGGAAGUGUUUAGAAAGGCUGUGUAAGUCACAUGUUGGAAGGUGUGACUAGGGCUGCAUAAACAAAGUGAUUUAACUCCUAAAUAGCAGAGAACUGAGCAGUGAGACUGCAGGGACAAGAUCUAUACACCUAAACUGCAUCAAAGCGGUUUUGGUAACUACAGUGUUCCUUUAAUUGAAUAUUUUAAUCCAAACUAGCCUAAAACAGAUCACAUUUUAUUUUAAUUUUCCAGUGUGGUC